UACGAGUGGUGCAAGCGUUAUUCGGAAUCAUUGGGCGUAAAGGGUGCGUAGGCGGCCUAUUAAGUCAGGGGUGAAAGACGGUGGCUCAACCAUCGCAGUGCCCUUGAUACUGAUGGGCUUGAUUACACUUGAGGUAGGCGGAAUGUGACAAGUAGCGGUGAAAUGCAUAGAUAUGUCACAGAACACCAAUUGCGAAGGCAGCUUACUAAGGUGUUAAUGACGCUGAGGCACGAAAGCGUGGGGAUCAAACAGG
rnacentral:rRNA from 1 species